AUGGACACACGUGAAGCACGGAUUUGUCUGGGGCUCCGCUCCGGAGAGCACGGCCCUGUGUGUGUCCGUGUGCGUCCCUGAUCGGGAGGGAAUGUCCCGACCGUGGCAGGGCCAGCGAGCACUGCCCUGGCCCUGCCCAGCCCAGAGCAGCAGCUGCCCAGGCUCACAAGCAGCCCGAGUGCAGCUGGCUGGGGCCGGCAGCUGCCCGCUGCAGGUGUGCGCAGGGCGGAUCCGCUUCCCGCGCGGUGCCGCUGGUGUGUGCGAUGGGACACGGCUGUCUCUUGUCGCCGGCCGUGCCCAAGGUGCUCGUGUCGCUCGUAGUGCCGGUGCCGUGAGAGGCGGGGCUGAGCCCCGGGGCGGAGCUGGCGGCGGCCCAGAGGAGGCGGCACGGCCGCAGCAGAGCCGGGGCUCAGGGGCACAGCGAGGCUCGGCCGGCGGAGCGGCGCCAUGCGGCGGGCUCGGGCCGCGGGGCUGCCGGCGCUGGCCGCGCUGCUGCUCGUGGCUGUGGCUAGAGCCCAGGUGCAGCAGGAGCCAUUCCUGGAGACCACCGAGGGCACCGGCAACAACAUCACCUGCUCACACUCCAGCAAACGGAUGGGCGAUACGAUCCAUUUCUACCGUCAGCUCCCGGGCCAAGGCCCCGAAUUCCUCGCCCUCGCUGCUAGAGGCUCCAAGGAUGCGCCGGGCAUUGCAGGAACGCUGUCGGUGUCGGAGGACGGGCGCUCCAGCGCGCUGUGGCUGGCUGUGCCCCGGCGCGGGGACGCGGCCGUGUAUUACUGCGCGCUGGGGGCCACGGGCAGAGGAGCCGGGGCUGCGGCCGGGCACGAACCGCCGCGGGCGGGGCCGGGCGGGGCCAGCAGGGGCCGCUGCCGCUCCGCCCGCCGGGCUCCCGGGGCGCGGCUCCGCAGCUCCUUCCUCUGCCCCGAGCCCGCCCGCACCGACAGCGCCGAUGGCACCGAAAAGGCCGACACGCUCCGGGCCUGCUGGCCCUCCCUUUAACUACUAUUGCUUCUCCUCCCUUCCAUCACAUCCCUCAGCAUCCCUGACGCCUUGCUGGCAACAAAGCAGCAACCCGAGUAGAAGAAGCAAUUAAAGAACUCCUACUGCACAUACACGAGUUCAUGGUACCACACACACACUCUGGGGCUUGCACAUGCCCAAAUGAUAACUCAUAGCUCUGCAUCUAUGAAGAGGUGUGUGCACACACAUUUCCAAAGGAGACCCAGGCACAGACACUUCUCCUUCUGCCAUGUCCCCACUGAUGUGCAAACACGCACGCUCGCUCCUAUUCCUGCUCCUGCACCCAAGCCUUUGCACGCACAUCUACGUGAA